AUUGAACGCUGGCGGCAUGCUUUACACAUGCAAGUCGAACGGUAACAGGCCUUCGGGUGCUGACGAGUGGCGAACGGGUGAGUAAUGCAUCGGAACGUGCCCAGUGGUUGGGGAUAACGCAGCGAAAGCUGUGCUAAUACCGCAUGUGAUCUGAGGUUGAAAGCGGGGGACCAGGCAGCAAUGUUUGGCCUCGCGUCUUUGGAGCGGCCGAUGUCAGAUUAGGUAGUUGGUGGGGUAAAGGCCUACCAAGCCGACGAUCUGUAGCUGAUCUGAGAGGACGACCGGCCACACUGGAACUGAGACACGGCCCAGACUCCUACGGGAGGCAGCAGUGGGGAAUUUUGGACAAUGGGCGCAAGCCUGAUCCAGCAAUGCCGCGUGCGGGAAGAAGGCCUUCGGGUUGUAAACCGCUUUUGUACGGAACGAAAAGACUCUGGCUAAUACCUGGAGCUGAUGACGGUACCGUAAGAAUAAGCACCGGCUAACUACGUG
rnacentral:rRNA from 1 species